rnacentral:tRNA from 1 species
CUGAUGUAGCUUAAAACUAAAGUAUAACACUGAAGAUGUUAAGAUGGACCCUAGAAGCGUCCCAUAAGCA